rnacentral:rRNA from 1 species
CUACGGGUGGCUCCAGUGGGGAAUAUUGCACAAUGGACGAAAGUCUGAUGCAGCAACGCCGCGUGGAGGAUGACACUUUUCGGAGCGUAAACUCCUUUUAUAUAGGAAGAUGAUGACGGUACUAUAUGAAUAAGCACCGGCUAACUCCGUGCCAGCAGCCGCGGUAAUACGGAGGGCGCAAGCGUUACUCGGAAUCACUGGGCGUAAAGAGCGUGUAGGCGGGUUAAUAAGUCAGAAGUGAAAUCCAAUAGCUCAACUAUUGAACUGCUUUUGAAACUGUUAACCUAGAAUAUGGGAGAGGUAGAUGGAAUUUCUGGUGUAGGGGUAAAAUCCGUAGAGAUCAGAAGGAAUACCGAUUGCGAAGGCGAUCUACUGGAACAUUAUUGACGCUGAGACGCGAAAGCGUGGGGAGCAAACAGGAUUAGAUACCCCGGUAGUC